UGCUCCUUUUGCCAGGGACAGAACAGGAAUGGAGUCUUAGAACUUUUAGAAAACCAUCUCCUUCCCAGCUCCAAGAAACACCCAUUGGUACAGCAACCACGCUAACUGUGAAUGGAAAGCUUCCUGCCUCAGCGGUGUCGGGAUAGACUGUCAGAACGAUGCGCCUGAGCGGCAUGUGCAGCAGCACGUAGGUCCGUGUGCAGGUCCCUGUUUCACACAAGGAAUUCUGGUGUGGAGCUGGUCCAGCUGUUUGUUGGGAAUAAAACUCAUUGUGAAUCCCACCUUUUAUCUGUCUGUGAACAGACCACAACUCCUGCUGGCUUUGGGUCUCCUUGCACUAGUCUGAACAGAAUGCAAAUGAAGGAUUGUGGGGACUUCAGAAAGGAACUCACAGGAAGAGAAAAACAGCGAGAGGAAGAACCCUAUCAGGAGUUGCUCAUCAUCCUUUUUGAAGUGUGGACACCACAACAAGAUACUCUAUCCAGUAAUGGCCUCCCUGAAUGCCCUAUACAAAGAAACACAUACUUUUUCACCUAAGAAGACAAAGGAACCAAGCCUUUAGACUUUGUGGGGAGAUCCUGACUUGAGAAGGGUGUCAGCUAUGUUGCUAGGAACAUGUGGUAAAGAUUUUACCUUGAACCAACUCCAG